GAUGAACGCUGGCGGCGUGCCUAAUACAUGCAAGUCGAGCGAACAGAUGAGGAGCUUGCUCCUCUGACGUUAGCGGCGGACGGGUGAGUAACACGUGGAUAACCUACCUAUAAGACUGGGAUAACUUCGGGAAACCGGAGCUAAUACCGGAUAAUAUAUUGAACCGCAUGGUUCAAUAGUGAAAGACGGUUUUGCUGUCACUUAUAGAUGGAUCCGCGCCGCAUUAGCUAGUUGGUAAGGUAACGGCUUACCAAGGCAACGAUGCGUAGCCGACCUGAGAGGGUGAUCGGCCACACUGGAACUGAGACACGGUCCAGACUCCUACGGGAGGCAGCAGUAGGGAAUCUUCCGCAAUGGGCGAAAGCCUGACGGAGCAACGCCGCGUGAGUGAUGAAGGUCUUCGGAUCGUAAAACUCUGUUAUUAGGGAAGAACAAAUGUGUAAGUAACUAUGCACGUCUUGACGGUACCUAAUCAGAAAGCACGGCUAACUACGUG
rnacentral:rRNA from 1 species